UGUCGGAUUUAUUGGGCGUAAGCGAGCGCAGGCGGUUUUUUAAGUCUGAUGUGAAAGCCUUCGGCUCAACCGAAGAAGUGCAUCGGAAACUGGGAAACUUGAGUGCAGAAGAGGACAGUGGAACUCCAUGUGUAGCGGUGAAAUGCGUAGAUAUAUGGAAGAACACCAGUGGCGAAGGCGGCUGUCUGGUCUGUAACUGACGCUGAGGCUCGAAAGUAUGGGUAGCAAACAGGAUUAGAUACCCUGGUAGUCCAUACCGUAAACGAUGAAUGCUAAGUGUUGGAGGGUUUCCGCCCUUCAGUGCUGCAGCUAACGCAUUAAGCAUUCCGCCUGGGGAGUACGGCCGCAAGGCUGAAACUCAAAGGAAUUGACGGGGGCCCGCACAAGCGGUGGAGCAUGUGGUUUAAUUCGAAGCUACGCGAAGAACCUUACCAGGUCUUGACAUACUAUGCAAAUCUAAGAGAUUAGACGUUCCCUUCGGGGACAUGGAUACAGGUGGUGCAUGGUUGUCGUCAGCUCGUGUCGUGAGAUGUUGGGUUAAGUCCCGCAACGAGCGCAACCCUUAUUAUCAGUUGCCAGCAUUAAGUUGGGCACUCUGGUGAGACUGCCGGUGACAAACCGGAGGAAGGUGGGGAUGACGUCAAAUCAUCAUGCCCCUUAUGACCUGGGCUACACACGUGCUACAAUGGAUGGUACAACGAGUUGCGAACUCGCGAGAGUAAGCUAAUCUCUUAAAGCCAUUCUCAGUUCGGAUUGUAGGCUGCAACUCGCCUACAUGAAGUCGGAAUCGCUAGUAAUCGCGGAUCAGCAUGCCGCGGUGAAUACGUUCCCGGGCCUUGUACACACCGCCCGUCACACCAUGAGAGUUUGUAACACCCAAAGUCGGUGGGGUAACCUUUUAGGAACCAGCCGCCUAAGUGGGACAGAUGAUUAGGGUGAAGUC
rnacentral:rRNA from 2 species